CACUGGAUGUCCCCUUUGUUCUUGUACAAGGGCACCACUGUACUCCACCUCCACUCAUCCGAUAUCCUUUUGGUCCUGAAGAUCGCAUUGAACAACCUAGAGAGCCACUCAACUCCUGACCUACCCAUGCACUUCCAGAACUCCAUCGGGAUCUCGUUAGGCCCGGUCGCUUGACCCCGACUCAUCUUACGCAAAGCCCCCAUGACUUCCU
rnacentral:lncRNA from 1 species